GAGAGUUAAAUAGUACGUGAAAUUGUUGAAAGGGAAACGAUUGAAGUCAGUCAUGCUAGUGAAAAAUCAGUUUGACGGGUUUUGAGUUCGGAGUAGAGGCAGGGUCAAACCGUUUCUCUUUUGGACUUGGGAUUUGUUAGAUGUACUUUUUCUUUGGCAGGUCAGCGUCGAUUUUGGAGGUUGUAAAAUACUUGGGGGAAAGUAACUCUGCUUCGGGAGAGUAUUAUAGACCCUGGGGGAUGCAGCCUGUGGGAUCGAGGAUUGCAGCAAAUGCCUUUGGCUUGUCGCCUGAUCUCUGGAUGUUACCUCGCUUUUGACAACAUUCUUGCCACUUGUGGGUACUAAUGCCCAUUAGGUUAGAGCGAUCAAAAAUUUGCUAAGGAUGCUGACGUAAUGGCUUUAAACGA
rnacentral:rRNA from 1 species